AAGGUGCUCGCUAGCCCCCGGCUUGCACGUGGAGGUGGAGUGCAGACGCUCCCCAAAGCCGGGAAGGUCGAAGGUUUUGCCUCCCACUCGAGAGAAAUCAAAGGAUGUGCCGGAUUUCCAAUAAAUAGCACCUUUGGAUGUAGAAGAGGAAUGGCUCCCUCACCCUGCUACGCACACCCCCACGCCACCCCACAGCUCUGACACGGCUUUUCUUCGGCAGCCGCACACGGUUACCAUUCCCGGCGUGUGUGGGAGAAGACUGUUGUGCGCCUGUGUCUGUCCGCCUGGGCAGCUCCAGCCCCUGGUUAAUAAAAAAGGUACAGAUGGUUAAGACACGAA